AACCGAUACCCGAAAUGCACAGGCCUAAGCAAGAUGUUAAAAUCUCUGAAAAGGAACAAAAUACAAUUACAAAUCGCUUAAAUGAAUAUCCUAAAAAUCAAAAAACCAGAGAUUACGAGAAGUGGUUACGAUUUUUAUGGCUUUAACUUUUCUUUACUCACGAUGAUGAAUUCUGUUUCUUCUUUUUCUUUUCCAAACAAUUCUGUUUCUUCUUAUGCAGGAAUUUAAAGAAACUUCAGGUAUGCAUCAGAUAAAUCUGACGAGAUGUUUCUGAAAAAGAUCGAGAACGUAUGGAGAUAUAAGAAGAGACGAUGGUGACUCAUAAUCUAAAGGAAAAGUAGAAGUGUCAAGAAAUCAAGGUUGAAGGAGAAUGUUUUGAUGAAGAUUGAUGAUGAAAAGAGAGAGAUGGAGAACGAGAAGAAAAUGAAUACGAAUCUUGAAGAAAUUCUCAUGGCUAAUUCUUUUUAACUUUUUUUUUUUAAUAAUUCUUUUGAUCUCUCAGUUCAUCUUCUUCCGUCUUCUUCCUCUUACUUUGUUUUAAGUCUCUUUAAAUUUUGUAAUUUCUCUUUCAUCGUCACAUGUAAUAUAAUGUAAAAAUAUUUUAUUUAGUUUAUCUAUUUAACAUCAAUUU